rnacentral:rRNA from 1 species
UACAGGGGGGGCAAGCGUUGUUCGGAAUUACUGGGCGUAAAGGGUUCGUAGGUGGUGUGGCAAGUUGGGAGUGAAAUCUCUGGGCUUAACCCAGAGGCUGCUUUCAAAACUGCCAUGCUCGAGUGCGAGAGAGGUCAGUGGAAUUGCAGGUGUAGCGGUGAAAUGCGUAGAUAUCUGCAGGAACACCCGUGGCGAAGGCGGCUGACUGGAUCGCAACUGACACUGAGGAGCGAAAGCUAGGGGAGCAAACAGG